rnacentral:rRNA from 1 species
GACGCUGGCGGCGUGCCUAACACAUGCAAGUCGAACGGACGAGGGGAGCUUGCUCCCCAAGUUAGUGGCGGACGGGUGAGUAACACGUGAGCAACCUGCCCUUCGGAGGGGGACAACAGUUGGAAACGACUGCUAAUACCGCAUGACGUAUUCUGGAGGCAUCUCCGGGAUACCAAAGAUUUUAUCGCCGAAGGAUGGGCUCGCGUCUGAUUAGAUAGUUGGUGAGGUAACGGCCCACCAAGUCGACGAUCAGUAGCCGGACUGAGAGGUUGAACGGCCACAUUGGGACUGAGAUACGGCCCAGACUCCUACGGGAGGCAGCAGUGGGGAAUAUUGGGCAAUGGGGGGCAACCCUGACCCAGCAACGCCGCGUGAAGGAAGAAGGCUUUCGGGUUGUAAACUUCUUUGACGAGGGACGAUAGUGACGGUACCUCGAAAACAAGCCACGGCUAACUACGUGCCAGCCGCUGC